rnacentral:lncRNA from 1 species
GCUACACGCUCCAGGCUGGGGCCCGGCCCUCCCGGCCUUAGUUUCUUCCCUUCCCUCAGUGGCCUGGACCAGGGCGGAGGGGUGGAAACGACCUACCCCAGAGACGGAGGGAAGACUAGGAUGAUACCUGGACGGCAGGUGAAGAAGGGCUGGGCGCAGCUGUCCAAGAUUAGGAGACUUUGUUUGUCCCCCCCAGGUCCAUGUGGGAAUGGAGCCGCCGUAUUAAUACUAAUACCGGGUAAUUAAUGUUUUCUCUUCGUUGCUCUCGCUAUCUCCAAACGAGGUAAAAGACUCAGCACAUAAGCCGGCAACCCUGCCAGCCGAACAUUUCUAAAAAGUUAUAUUCAUUUAAAAUUACAUGUACUUUUUUUAAAGUUUUUUUCUUUUUUUGUAGAGAUGGGAGGGUGAGGGGGGCAGGUCUUGCUCUGUUGGCCCGGCUGGUCUCAGGCGAUCCACCUGCUUCGGCCUCCCAAAGUGUUGGGAUUAUAGGUGUGAGCUGCUGCGCCUGGCCUUUCAUGUUCUUUUUAAAAUUUAUUUAUUUGUUUUGGUAUCCCUAUUGAAGUUAUCAUGUACUUAUAUAAUCAAACAAUGCAGAUAAAAUGAAAACCAAUCUCUUCCCUUGAAGCACUGUUCCACUCCAACUUUUAUAGCUUUUGCAGCCUCUGGCAAAGGAUUUCUCCUUUAAACUGCCACUGUGACACAAUCACAAACGUACAUGUUUGUAUUAAUUUUUUUUUUUUUUUUGGACAGGGUCUUGCUGUGUCACUCAUGCUGGAGUAUAGUGCAUGAUCAUGGCUCACUGCAGCCCCCGAACUUCUGGGCACAAACGAUCUUCUCCACCACGCCUAGCGUUUUUUUCUUUUCUUUUCUUUUCUUUUUUUUUGUAGAGAUGGGAGUGUCUCACUAUGUUACCCAGGCUGGUCUCAAACUCCUGGGCUCAAGUGAUUCUCCCACCUCAGCCUCCCAAAGUGCUGGGAUUACAGGCGUAAGCCACCACGCCCAGCCUGUAGCUCUUGAUAAAGAGAUGCACACAGUCUCUUCUGAGAUCACACACCCUUGAUGGGAUAGAAUCCACUCUUCUUCCAAGCACUCAACUAAGACUUUUGAGCUGCACUAGCAGCUUUGUAUACGUGUCCCAUUUAAUUUCCACAACAAGUCAAAGGAGUGGGGCAUUAUCAUUCCUAUCUUAUAGACUAUAAAACAGGGUUAGGGAAGUUAAGUGGCCAAGGUUACCCAGUUAUUAAGUGGUGGGAUCAAUAUUCAAGCCAGAAUCUGACUGAAUUCCAAGGAGGCUCAGAAGUAAUUACCGUGCUAUUCAGAGAUGAGUAAAAUACAGGUCCUGCAUUUAGAGACUUUAUAGUCUGCUUGGUGAGCUCCAGUUAAGGCAGCUCAACCAGCUGGCUGGAAACAUCAGACUUCCUGUGAUGCUGAAGCAGGCAGAACUGAGGAUGCUCUGUUGGAUGGCUCUUGUCACUCUACAGGAAUGCAUGAAAGAGAGCCACGAUCUCCCACUCAUUGUACUUCCAUGUCAAGUUACCCUGCAGUGUGAGCUGAUGUGAAUGAGAUCUGAGGUGGAAUUGCACGAAUUAGGAAAACAGCACAGAGCUGGCCUGUAAGGCAACCAGCAGUGCAGGAGGCUGUCCCUAAUUCAGGAGGUCAGUUCUGGACAGCCCAGAGGACAGUCA